CAACAACGGAUCUCUUGGCUCUGGCAUCGAUGAAGAACGCAGCGAAAUGCGAUAAGUAAUGUGAAUUGCAGAAUUCAGUGAAUCAUCGAAUCUUUGAACGCACAUUGCGCCCGCCAGUACUCUGGCGGGCAUGCCUGUUCGAGCGUCAUUU
rnacentral:rRNA from 1 species